rnacentral:rRNA from 1 species
AACGAACGCUGGCGGCAGGCCUAACACAUGCAAGUCGAACGCUCCGCAAGGAGAGUGGCAGACGGGUGAGUAACGCGUGGGAAUUUCCCCCAAGGUUCGGAAUAACUGAGGGAAACUUCAGCUAAUACCGAAUGGUACCUGGCGGUUAAAGAUUUAUCGCCUUGGGAUGAGCCCGCGUUGGAUUAGCUAGUUGGUGAGGUAACGGCUCACCAAGGCUCUGAUCCAUAGCUGGUCUGAGAGGACGACCAGCCACACUGGGACUGAGACACGGCCCAGACUCCUACGGGAGGCAGCAGUGGGGAAUCUUGGACAAUGGGCGCAAGCCUGAUCCAGCCAUGCCGCGUGGGCGAUGAAGGUCUUCGGAUUGUAAAGCCCUUUUGGCGGGGACGAUAAUGACGGUACCCGCAGAAUAAGCUCCGGCUAACUUCGUGCCAGCAGCCGCGGUAAUACGAAGGGGGCUAGCGUUGUUCGGAAUUACUGGGCGUAAAGCGUGCGCAGGCGGCUUUU